AACGGCGUCUAAUACUGGAUAUGAGCUCUCAUCGCAUGGUGGGGGUUGGAAAGAUUUUUCGGUUUGGGAUGGGCUCGCGGCCUAUCAGCUUGUUGGUGAGGUAAUGGCUCACCAAGGCGUCGACGGGUAGCCGGCCUGAGAGGGUGACCGGCCACACUGGGACUGAGACACGGCCCAGACUCCUACGGGAGGCAGCAGUGGGGAAUAUUGCACAAUGGGCGCAAGCCUGAUGCAGCAACGCCGCGUGAGGGAUGACGGCCUUCGGGUUGUAAACCUCUUUUGGUAGGGAAGAAGCCUUCGGGUGACGGUACCUGCAGAAAAAGCGCCGGCUAACUACGUGCCAGCAGCCGCGGUAAUACGUAGGGCGCAAGCGUUAUCCGGAAUUAUUGGGCGUAAAGAGCUCGUAGGCGGUCUGUCGCGUCUGCUGUGAAAUUCCGAGGCUCAACCUCGGGCUUGCAGUGGGUACGGGCAGACUAGAGUGCGGUAGGGGAGAUUGGAAUUCCUGGUGUAGCGGUGGAAUGCGCAGAUAUCAGGAGGAACACCGAUGGCGAAGGCAGAUCUCUGGGCCGUUACUGACGCUGAGGAGCGAAAGGGUGGGGAGCAAACAGGCUUAGAUACCCUGGUAGUCCACCCCGUAAACGUUGGGAACUAGUUGUGGGGUCCUUUCCACGGAUUCCGUGACGUAGCUAACGCAUUAAGUUCCCCGCCUGGGGAGUACGGCCGCAAGGCUAAAACUCAAAGGAAUUGACGGGGACCCGCACAAGCGGCGGAGCAUGCGGAUUAAUUCGAUGCAACGCGAAGAACCUUACCAAGGCUUGACAUACGCCAGAACGGGCCAGAAAUGGUCAACUCUUUGGACACUGGUGAACAGGUGGUGCAUGGUUGUCGUCAGCUCGUGUCGUGAGAUGUUGGGUUAAGUCCCGCAACGAGCGCAACCCUCGUUCUAUGUUGCCAGCACGUUAUGGUGGGAACUCAUGGGAUACUGCCGGGGUCAACUCGGAGGAAGGUGGGGAUGACGUCAAAUCAUCAUGCCCCUUAUGUCUUGGGCUUCACGCAUGCUACAAUGGCCGGUACAAUGGGCUGCGAUACCGCGAGGUGGAGCGAAUCCCAAAAAGCCGGUCCCAGUUCGGAUUGAGGUCUGCAACUCGACCUCAUGAAGUCGGA
rnacentral:rRNA from 1 species